AGCAGCCGCGGUAAUUUCAGCUCCAAUAGCGUAUAUUAAAGUUGUUGCAGUUAAAAAGCUCGUAGUUGAAUUUCGGGGUCAGUAGAUUGGUCGUGCCACUGGUAUGCACUGGUCUUACUGGCUCCUCCUUCCUGAUGAACCGUAAUGCCAUUAAUUUGGUGUUGCGGGGAGACUGGACUGUUACUUUGAAAAAUUAGAGUGUUUAAAGCAGGCUAACGCUUGAAUACAUUAGCAUGGAAUAAUGAAAUAGGACGUUCGAUCUUAUUUUGUUGGUUUCUAAGAUUGACGUAAUGAUUAAUAGGGAUAGUUGGGGGCAUUAGUAUUCAAUUGUCAGAGGUGAAAUUCUUGGAUUUAUUGAAGACUAACUACUGCGAAAGCAUUUGCCAAGGAUGUUUUCAUUAAUCAAGAACGAAAGUUAG
rnacentral:rRNA from 1 species